UACAGAGGGUGCGAGCGUUGUCCGGAAUCACUGGGCGUAAAGGGCGCGUAGGUGGCGGCCCAAGUCUGUGGUGAAAGCUCGAUGCUUAACAUCGAGUCGGCCACGGAGACUGGGUGGCUCGAGCACUGUAGGGGCAGAUGGAAUUCCGGGUGUAGCAGUGAAAUGCGUAGAGAUCAUGAGGAAGACCAGUGGCGAAGGCGGGUCUCUGGACAGUUCCUGACACUGAGGCACGAAGGCCAGGGGAGCAAACGGG
rnacentral:rRNA from 1 species